rfam:Ricinus communis cultivar Hale ctg_1100012355956, whole genome shotgun sequence.
AAACCAUAAUGAGGGCACCUCCUUUGUAACUCCUUAAACCUUUUGCAAGCUUCAUAAAGUGACUCAUCAUUCUUUUGGUAGCAACUAGCAAUUUGUUGUCUAAUUU